rnacentral:lncRNA from 1 species
CUAAAUCCCUUUGGUUUCUCCGUACAUAUGAUCCGCUUUUCUCUCACAAUCUCUCUGUUUUAUCCAUCAGAACCCUUGCUAAGAAAUUAUCUCCAAUCCAUCUCAAUCCGUUUAAUUUCUCCGACGGAACCCUUGUUCCGAAACAGUCUCCCGUCCAUCGAAUACGAGACCAACUCUUUGUUGAAAUCCUUUCUCCAAAAUGAUAUCACAUCUGCCGGAUCAUGUUCUUCAUUCACACCAUUCUUGAUUGUAUCCGUACGAUUGUAAGUCACUCUUUGUUUUUCCUUUUCUGAAUUUUUUUCAGUAUUAGGGCUAACACACGCCUCUUAUACUGUUCAAGCUCAGGUCUUGAUUUCAUCUAAUCUCCCGUUGGCAAAUAUGGAGACCAUUGAGUUACCAUCUCAGAUUUUUGCUGCUGGAGAGGAACCAGUAUAAAGAGACGAUAUAUCGUUGUCUCAAAGCACCAUAGCUCUGUCCGGAUACGUCCAGUCCCUCCAUACCCCCCCACCCCCCCCCCCCC